CAACCAGAUGCUUGGGCAUUUUAUCAGCAGGAGUCUUGAUGGAAUAACACAGUAGCACAACAGCUUUCAGGAAUCACUUUCUAGGUAUUUGUGCUUCCUCAGAAUGAGUGAAGCAGCUAUUCAUUUAAAUGGCUCAAGCAAAUGAAUAAAUGUAAAUACUUCUAAAAUAAAAUUUACUCAAGUUACAGUACAGUCAGUCUUUCCCACAUUACAGAGACACCAGAUAAUGUUGGCCUUCUAGGACCAAGGAUGGGAUGGCAAAUCUAAACACCCAUUCCUUCCCCCUUUCUAGAGACUAAGAAUAGAAAAGUUAUGCAAAAACCCCUAUUUGCCCCACAUUUAGAGAUGAAGCAGGACAGUCCCAGAACAGACUUCCUUGGAAUCAUCACUGGAGAACACACACUGAGAAGGUGACCAAGAAGAAGAAAUCAAAAUAUGCUCCCAGAACUUCUAGCUGAAGGAAAAGACUGAGAAACUCAGCAGUAACAGCCUGUUACAAAUCUGCACGUAAUAAAGUGGUGGACCUCAAA